rnacentral:lncRNA from 1 species
AUGCCACCCCCCCAACCCACCACCCCCCUGAGGGGUCUCCGCGAGGCCUGGGUUUCCUGCCUCCCUGGAUGCCAGCAUGUGGACGCCCAGGUGCCCCAGCCGUGGAGCGCAGCUUCAGCGAGGGGCUGUCGGGGUCCGGAGCUGGCUGUGUGGGUUCCCACCCACCACAACCCCCCACCCCCUCAGUCUGCACCCUCAGGAGAGAGGGGCUGCACGGAGCUGCGGGGCGCCCCCUCCCCCUCCCCCUCCGGGCUCCCCGGGGCGCGGUGGGCCAGGGGCGCGCGGGUUGCCGGGCGACCGCGCCGUUGCCAGUGGCGACGCGUACGCACACUCCACACCACCACCUACCCCGCGCUGCAGAACGCAGGCGGUGGCAGGGCGAUGGGUGCCUGCACUGCGGAGUACGCGCUUGGGCUGCGAACAGGGACCGCCCGGGGUGAGGGGGGGGUUGUUCCUCCAACCCUUUCGGUUAAGGGGGGCCCUCUGGCCCCCAUCCCACAGUCAGGGUCAGGGGAACCUCGAGACGCCCAUCCCAGCGCCUCUGGGUCUGGGCACCGACCCUCCCCACGCACACCAGGGCUGAGUGAGUGCAGGACAGAAGGUAGCUCCGACUCCCAACCCGGCUGCCAUCCUCCUGGCAGUUUGCCUGCAAGAGUCCCGGGAGGAUGGAAAGGGAGAUUUGUCACGAGAGCUGGGUUAUUUCCUUAUAGAAAAACAGGCUCCGAAUGGUUCCGACACUUACCGGAGGUUUUAACUGCUAGCGACCAACCAGCGGCGCUGGAAUUGGAAUCAAAGCUCCUCAUGUGGCUCACUUCGUCCUGUCCCUCCCCGGUAGUUUGGUGGGUGCCCGUGGGCGGGGUUCACGGCCUCUCUGGUUGCCCUGUCCCCGCUGUAAAAAGAGGUGUUUCCUGGAUCCAGGAGUGGCCCUUGGGGUGCAGGCCUGGGGCCUGGUGCGGGGGUGUGUGGGGGGGAGAGCCACUCCUUGGCCCCGCCUCCCUCCAG